rnacentral:rRNA from 1 species
UACGGAGGGUGCAAGCGUUAUCCGGCUUUACUGGGUUUAAAGGGUGCGCAGGCGGAUAUGUAAGUCAGGGGUGAAAUCUCUAGGCUUAACCUGGAAAUUGCCGUUGAUACUAUAUAUCUUGAAUGCUGUGGAGGUAAGCGGAAUAUGUCAUGUAGCGGUGAAAUGCUUAGAUAUGACAUAGAACACCUAUUGCGAAGGCAGCUUACUACGCAGAUAUUGACGCUCAUGCACGAAAGCGUGGGGAUCAAACAGG